rnacentral:rRNA from 1 species
AGGACGAACGCUGGCGGCGUGCUUAACACAUGCAAGUCGAACGGUGAAGGGGAGCUUGCUCCCCGGAUCAGUGGCGAACGGGUGAGUAACACGUGGGCAACCUGCCCCUAGCUCUGGGAUAACUCCGGGAAACCGGGGCUAAUACCGGAUACGACAUCUAGUGACAUCACUUGAUGUGGAAAGUUUUUCGGCUAGGGAUGGGCCCGCGGCCUAUCAGCUUGUUGGUGGGGUAACGGCCCACCAAGGCGACGACGGGUAGCCGGCCUGAGAGGGCGACCGGCCACACUGGGACUGAGACACGGCCCAGACUCCUACGGGAGGCAGCAGUGGGGAAUAUUGCGCAAUGGGCGAAAGCCUGACGCAGCGACGCCGCGUGAGGGACGAAGGCCUUCGGGUUGUAAACCUCUUUCAGCAGGACGAAGCCGCAAGGUGACUGUACCUGCAGAAGAAGCACCGGCUAACUACGCGCCAGCAGCCGC